GUUGUUUUACCAUCCAACAAGCCUGCCUUAUGACUUUUUAAAGCUGUUUGUUAUUUUCUUCAUCCAACAAGUUUUCUCUCAGCCAUUAGUCGUUUUUAUUCAUCUAAUGACCUUUUUUUCUAAGCCGGUGGCCAAUGUUUCCAUCCAACAUAUCUAAAAACGGACCCAUAUUGUCUUUUAUCUAGAAUAAAGAAUCUCUUUUCGGUUCAUAAUCCUUGUUUAGAAUCUUUGUGUUAUGAUUCGUUAAGUCGUUAGCAGCCUUUGUCAAAAGAAGCCAUUAGUUGUUUUUUUU
rnacentral:lncRNA from 1 species